rnacentral:rRNA from 1 species
AUUGAACGCUGGCGGCAUGCCUUACACAUGCAAGUCGAACGGCAGCACGGGAGCAAUCCUGGUGGCGAGCGGCGAACGGGUGAGUAAAGUAUCGGAACGUGCCCAGUCGUGGGGGAUAACGUAGCGAAAGUUACGCUAAUACCGCAUACGAUCUAUGGAUGAAAGCGGGGGAUCGCAAGACCUCGCGCGAUUGGAGCGGACGAUAUCAGAUUAGGUAGUUGGUGGGGUAAAGGCUCACCAAGCCGACGAUCUGUAGCUGGGCCGAGAGGACGACAAGCCAAGCUGGGACUGAGAGACGGCCCAGACUCCGACGGGAGGCAGCAGUGGGAAAUUUUGGACAAUGGGCGAAGCCUGAUCCAGCCAUGCCGCGUGCAGGAUGAAGGCCUUCGGGUUGUAAACUGCUUUUGUACGGAACGAAAAGGUUUGACUUAAUACGUUGGACUCAUGACGGUACCGUAAGAAUAAGCACCGGCUAACUACGUGCCAGCAGCCGCCGUAA